rnacentral:rRNA from 1 species
AGAUGCGAUCAUACCAGCACUAAAGCACCGGAACUCAUCAGAACUUCGAAGUUAAGCAUGCUUGACGAAAAAGGGUCCCCCGCUUUAUAGAUAAAGCAACCAUCACCGCAUACA